rnacentral:rRNA from 1 species
CCCUUAGAUGUCCGGGGCCGCACUCGCGCUACACUGAAGGAAUCAGCGUGGCUUUCUCCCUGACCCGAAAGGGUUGGGAAACCCGUUGAAUCUCCUUCGUGAUAGGGAUUGGGGCUUGAAAUUGUUCCCCAUGAACGAGGAAUUCCCAGUAAGCGCGAGUCAUAAGCUCGCGUUGAUUACGUCCCUGCCCUUUGUACACACCGCCCGUCGCUACUACCGAUUGAACGGUUUAGUGAGGGCCUCGGAUUGGUCUCGGCCCGCUCUUUACCGGGCGGCGCCGUUGGUCGAGAAGACGCUCGAACUUGAUCGUUUAGAGGAAGUAAAAGUCGUAACA